rnacentral:rRNA from 1 species
UACGUAGGUGGCAAGCGUUAUCCGGAAUUAUUGGGCGUAAAGCGCGCGCAGGCGGUUUCUUAAGUCUGAUGUGAAAGCCCACGGCUCAACCGUGGAGGGUCAUUGGAAACUGGGGAACUUGAGUGCAGAAGAGAAAAGCGGAAUUCCACGUGUAGCGGUGAAUGACGUAGAGAUGUGGAGGAACACCAGUGGCGAAGGCGGCUUUUUGGUCUGUAACUGACGCUGAGGCGCGAAAGCGUGGGGAGCAACAGG